rnacentral:lncRNA from 1 species
AUCAUUAUUGAAAAGGUAAAAUAGCCGCAAGGCUUAAGAGGAGGGGUGAGAAAAAGUUGUAUAAAAGGCGACUGAAAAGUCGACAGGGAUCAGUCGAGCGAGUAUCUCCGACACGGUAACAGCCGUAGUGUACUAUUUGCCAUCAGCUGGAUUCUUCAUCGUAUUAUCAGUUCUCAAUCAUGGUCGUACAUAAGGGCAAGGAAAAAGGGAAAGAAAUCGGUCGAGUGAGCAUCUCCGGCACGGUAACAGCAACUGCAGCGCACCAUUUGUCACCAACUGCAUUCUUCGUCGAAUUGCUGGUUUAAAUCAUGGCAAACUAUGGCGUCGUGCUGCAGUUGUGUCUUGCAACUCCGCCAACACCUUACUACACAACAUACGGCACGACCAGUUGCUACACCGAGGCCCCCAAGUACUUCACCAAGGCUCCAGAUUAUUAUGCCCCAACUGAUGCUGCCCUGAGCUACUACACUGAAUCCCCACAGUAUUAUUAUUCCCCGAGCUACACUACCAAAGGAUCGAUUAUUACACCGAUGCUCCGAAGUACUACACUACAUAUAAUGAGAAAAUCUGAAAGAAUUCAGCAGCCGAGUGAGCAUCUCCAUUGCAGCAACAGGAACUGCCGUGCAUAAUUUGUCAUCAACUUAAUUCUUCGUCGCAUUAAAAGUUUUAAAUAAAGUAAACUAUGGCGUAGUGCUGCUGUUGGGUGUUAUAUGGUUGAUGGCUGGGACGACCACUGGUGUGCCGAUGUCUCCUUGGUAUGGCGGGUACCAAAGCACUGCCGUGCAGUCUUGCUAUUUAGCAUAAACUUCCGCUGCUCCAGCUUACUACACUGAGGCUCCCAAGUGCUACACCAUCAAGGUUCCAGAGUAUUACACCACAACUUGUGCUGCCCUGAUGUUACUACGCAGAAGCUCCGAAGUAUGUUUUCCCCGAGCUUCACUACCUUCACCACGUCGCUUACUAAACAACAACGUCAAACCCUUCUUACUAUAUGGAGGUCUCCAGUACUACGCCACAAAGGCUUCCGAGUACUACAACGAGGAUCUAACUUGUCACACCACUGAAGCGCCUUGCACUACAACCUACGUUGCUCCAGCUUACACCACGAAGGCAGCGGAGUGCUACACCAUUACUUACGUUACUACCACUUACUACACCGAAGCCCCGAA